AAACCACAUGUAAAUUCAAAGCAAAGAGAACAUGGACAUAGGAGGAGCAUACUCUAUUUCUAGGAGCCAUAGUGCUAUAUGGAAGAAUGGCAGAGCAUGGAAGGUUUGCUAUGAUCAACUUCCACAAAUUUAGAGUACUUUGCCUUUGCCUCAGCACUUGCACCACCAUUCAUGCUUUGCUUCUGAUUAUAUCUAGAAGUGCAGUUAGUAUUUCUUUGAUGUUGGAACAAAGCUUUAGAGAAGAGAACUAAUUCAACAGGUGAGACAUAGUGAUCUUCAA